rnacentral:rRNA from 1 species
CCUACGGGUGGCUGCAGUGAGGAAUAUUGGUCAAUGGACGAGAGUCUGAACCAGCCACGUAGCGUGAAGGAUGACUGCCCCAUGGGUUGUAAACUUCUUUUAUAUGGGAAUAAAAUGUUCAACGUGUGGGCUUUUGUAUGUACCAUAUGAAUAAGGAUCGGCUAACUCCGUGCCAGCAGCCGCGGUAAUACGGUGGAUCCGUGCCUUAUCAGGAUUUGUUGGGGUGAAAGGGGGCGUAGGUGGGUGUUUAAGUCAAGUGUGAAAGUUGGAGGGUCAACGGGAAACAUGCAGUGGGAACUUGCAGGCUUGAGGAGAGGAGAGGUGGGCGGAAUGCGUGGGGGAGGGGGGGAAUGCGUAG